rnacentral:rRNA from 1 species
UUACGGUCAAAUCACGCUGAAACACCGGUUCUCGUACGAUCACCGAACUUAAGCCACGUAGAGCCAGGUCAGUACUUAGAUGGGGGACCGCUUGGGAACACCUGGUACUGUAA